UCUCGAGGACGACCUCGAGGAUGACGUCUAAGACGACCUCAAGGAUGACCUUG
rnacentral:ncRNA from 1 species